rnacentral:rRNA from 1 species
GACGAACGCUGGCGGCGUGCUUAACACAUGCAAGUCGAACGGAAAGGCCCUGCUUUUGUGGGGUGCUCGAGUGGCGAACGGGUGAGUAACACGUGAGUAACCUGCCCUUGACUUUGGGAUAACUUCAGGAAACUGGGGCUAAUACCGGAUAGGAGCUCCUGCUGCAUGGUGGGGGUUGGAAAGUUUCGGCGGUUGGGGAUGGACUCGCGGCUUAUCAGCUUGUUGGUGGGGUAGUGGCUUACCAAGGCUUUGACGGGUAGCCGGCCUGAGAGGGUGACCGGCCACAUGGGGACUGAGAAACGGCCCAGACUCCUACGGGAGGAAGCGGUGGGGAAUAUUGCACAAUGGGCGGAAGCCUGAUGCAGCAACGCCGCGUGCGGGAUGACGGCCUUCGGGUUGUAAACCGCUUUCGCCUGUGACGAAGCGUGAGUGACGGUAAUGGGGAAAGAAGCACCGGCUAACUACGU